rnacentral:rRNA from 1 species
UGACUCUCGACAACGGAUAUCUCGGCUCUCGCAUCGAUGAAGAACGUAGCGAAAUGCGAUACUUGGUGUGAAUUGCAGAAUCCCGUGAACCAUCGAGUCUUUGAACGCAAGUUGCGCCCGAAGCCAUCAGGCCGAGGGCACGUCUGCCUGGGUGUCACGCAUUGACUUGCCA